rnacentral:rRNA from 1 species
UGGGGAAUCUUGCGCAAUGGGCGAAAGCCUGACGCAGCGACGCCGCGUGAGUGAUGAAGGCCUUCGGGUUGUAAAGCUCUGUGGAGAGGGAAGAAUAAGGCUGGGGUAAUAUUCCAGUUGAUGACGGUACCUCUUUAGCAAGCACCGGCUAACUCUGUGCCAGCAGCCGCGGUAAGACAGAGGGUGCAAACGUUGUUCGGAAUGACUGGGCGUAAAGCGUGUGUAGGCGGCUCCAUAAGUCUGAUGUGAAAGCCCCGGGCUCAACCUGGGAAGUGCAUUGGAAACUGUGGAGCUAGAGUGGCGGAGAGGUUGGUGGAAUUCUCGGUGUAGAGGUGAAAUUCGUAGAUAUCGAGAGGAACAUCGGUGGCGAAGGCGGCCAACUGGACGCAAACUGACGCUGAGACACGAAAGUGUGGGGAGCAAACA